rnacentral:rRNA from 1 species
AUUGAACGCUGGCGGCAUGCUUUACACAUGCAAGUCGAACGGCAGGGCGGGGCAACCUGGCGGCGAGUGGCGAACGGGUGAGUAAUAUAUCGGAACGUACCCAGAAGUGGGGGAUAACGUAGCGAAAGUUACGCUAAUACCGCAUACGAUCUACGGAUGAAAGUGGGGGACCUUCGGGCCUCAUGCUUUUGGAGCGGCCGAUAUCUGAUUAGCUAGUUGGUAGGGUAAAGGCCUACCAAGGCGACGAUCAGUAGCUGGUCUGAGAGGACGACCAGCCACACUGGAACUGAGACACGGUCCAGACUCCUACGGGAGGCAGCAGUGGGGAAUUUUGGACAAUGGGCGCAAGCCUGAUCCAGCAAUGCCGCGUGAGUGAAGAAGGCCUUCGGGUUGUAAAGCUCUUUUGUCGGGGAAGAAACGGUCUAGGUUAAUACCUUGGGCUAAUGACGGUACCUGAAGAAUAAGCACCGGCUAACUACGUGCCAGCAGCCGCGGUAAUACGUAGGGUGCAAGCGUUAAUCGGAAUUACUGGGCGUAAAGCGUGCGCAGGCGGUUUUGUAAGUCUGUCGUGAAAGCCCCGGGCUCAACCUGGGAAUUGCGAUGGAGACUGCAAGGCUUGAAUCUGGCAGAGGGGGGUAGAAUUCCACGUGUAGCAGUGAAAUGCGUAGAGAUGUGGAGGAACACCGAUGGCGAAGGCAGCCCCCUGGGUCAAGAUUGACGCUCAUGCACGAAAGCGUGGGGAGCAAACAGGAUUAGAUACCCUGGUAGUCCACGCCCUAAACGAUGUCUACUAGUUGUCGGGUUUUAAUUAACUUGGUAACGCAGCUAACGCGUGAAGUAGACCGCCUGGGGAGUACGGUCGCAAGAUUAAAACUCAAAGGAAUUGACGGGGACCCGCACAAGCGGUGGAUGAUGUGGAUUAAUUCGAUGCAACGCGAAAAACCUUACCUACCCUUGACAUGGAAGGAAGUCCGGAGAGAUUUGGAUGUGCCCGAAAGGGAACCUUCACACAGGUGCUGCAUGGCUGUCGUCAGCUCGUGUCGUGAGAUGUUGGGUUAAGUCCCGCAACGAGCGCAACCCUUGUCAUUAGUUGCUACAUUUAGUUGAGCACUCUAAUGAGACUGCCGGUGACAAACCGGAGGAAGGUGGGGAUGACGUCAAGUCCUCAUGGCCCUUAUGGGUAGGGCUUCACACGUCAUACAAUGGUACAUACAGAGGGCCGCCAACCCGCGAGGGGGAGCUAAUCCCAGAAAGUGUAUCGUAGUCCGGAUUGUAGUCUGCAACUCGACUACAUGAAGUUGGAAUCGCUAGUAAUCGCGGAUCAGCAUGUCGCGGUGAAUACGUUCCCGGGUCU